GAUGAACGCUGGCGGUAUGCCUAACACAUGCGAGUCGUACGAGAGUUUUUAACUCUAGGUGGCGGACGGGUGAGUAACACGUGAGAAUUUGCCUUUAGGAGGGGGACAACAAUCGGAAACGAAUGCUAAUACCCCCAUAUGCUUUCGAGUGAAAUGGAUUUUAUCCGCCUAGAGAGAAGCUCGCGGCUGAUUAGCUUGUUGGUAAGGUAAGAGCUUACCAAGGCGACGAUCAGUAUCUGGUUUGAGAGGACGAUCAGACACACUGGAACUGAGACACGGUCCAGACUCCUACGGGAGGCAGCAGUGGGGAAUAUUGGACAAUGGGGGCAACCCUGAUCCAGCAAUGCCGCGUGAGUGAUGAAGGCCUUAGGGUCGUAAAGCUCUUUUACCAGGGAUGAUAAUGACAGUAUCGGGAGAAUAAGCUCCGGCUAACUCCGUG
rnacentral:rRNA from 1 species